rnacentral:rRNA from 1 species
CGCUGGCGGCACGCUUAACACAUGCAAGUCGAACGGAGAUAUUUGGUUACUGAGAUAUCUUAGUGGCGGACGGGUGAGUAACACGUGAGCAACCUGCCUCUGAGAGGGGGAUAGCUUCUGGAAACGGAUGGUAAUACCCUAUAAUAUAACGAAGCCGCAUGACUUUGUUAUCAAAGAUUUAUCACUCAGAGAUGGGCUCGCGUCUGAUUAGAUAGUUGGUGAGGUAACGGCUCACCAAGUCGACGAUCAGUAGCCGGACUGAGAGGUUGAACGGCCACAUUGGGACUGAGACACGGCCCAGACUCCUACGGGAGGCAGCAGUGGGGAAUAUUGCACAAUGGGGGAAACCCUGAAUGCAGCGAUGCCGCGUGGAGGAAGAAGGUUUUCGGAUUGUAAACUCCUGUCUUAAAGGACGAUAAUGACGGUACUUUAGGAGGAAGCUCCGGCUAACUACGUGCCAGCCGCUGC